GCCUACGGGAGGCAGCAGUGAGGAAUAUUGGACAAUGGGCGAAAGCCUGAUCCAGCGACGCCGCGUGGGUGAAGAAGGCCUUCGGGUUGUAAAGCCCUUUAAGCCGGGACGAAAAAAUCGGCGAUAACAUCGCCGGUCUUGACUGUACCGGAGGAAUAAGCACCGGCUAACUCUGUGCCAGCAGCCGCGGUAAU
rnacentral:rRNA from 1 species